CAAGAAUUCGUUUAACUUAAGAAACAUAAAAAGGAAAACUUGCAUUAUGGAAAACAUAUUUCACGUGUUGGGUUUAUUAGUGCUAUUCUCUCUCCUUGUUGAAGUUGAACCAUUUUUCGUCGGACAAGAGUACGGUAAUCAGGUAGUAGCGAGAGCUGUCAAUAAAGCCGCUAUAUCCGGCAUUUGUUUUGGGAUUAUAUUGGUGGUGGCGGUGAUAUACUAUAUAUAUAAAAAAUGCAUUGAAAAAAGCAGACAAAGAAAGUGUUCCCGCACAGUCAGCAUGUAUAAAUCAGGGACCAUAGCCAACAGCAACCUUUGACUUAACAUAAUCUUAGGAGUAGAAUCUGAGUGUUUUGAUAUGAUUACUUUAAUGUAUAAUAUACUUGCCCAAUAGACUGAAUGGAAUGACUGAGGCAUGUUUAAGGAUAAUUACUUAAUACCAGAUGGAUCAAAAUAUGUUACACUACAGUAACUAUAAAAAAGAUAGACCUUUAUCUCCUUUUCAGAAUAAAUAUUUGAACGAAUG